GGGGACGCGAUGGUUUCCUCACUAACGAAUCACCCCCUCCAAAAUAUUGCAGAAAGUGGACGAGCCCAGUUGGAAGCAUAUCCUGAAGCCCGUAGGGGAAGCCAUGUCGGAUAAAGCCACCUUUCUGAAAGCAUCCCCCCCCUUCCCCUGGCAAAGGAUCGAUCCUUGGUGUGAAGGCUGCCGGGAAAUGUAGUCCAAGCGUCGAUCAGGGCCUGCUCUGAGCCCCUGGAGCCCCUCUUCUAGCUGCGGAUCUGAUGGAACCUUUAUAAACCUGGGAUUUAUAACGG